AUUUAAGAGACGGUAAUCACCGCAUGCCAUAUCUUCCUAGUCUCAGGCAAGAAAACGUCAAAGUCACAAGUAGAUAUGAAGUUUGCAAUCUCCUUGGCGUUGGCGCUCAUCCUAGGAAUGACACUGGACCAGGCUGACGCAGACAUCACAUUUGCCAAGCGAAACGUGCCUGAACGUCGCCAGGAGGAGACACUGAGCCGCCACGAGCGAGACAACAAGGAGACUCUGAGCCGUCGUAAGCGAUUUCAAAGCGGGUUUGAAGUUGGUUUGGAUGGGGGUUUUUAGGCAGCCGAUCUUGAAGUUGAGCGCACGGGUGGUGAUGCGAUGCCGUCAGAGCCAAAUCACCAUACAGCCCAAGUAACUCCCUGCGAUGACAUGACGCUAUGGUGACUCCCGCGUGACGUCACAUUACUACUCUCGUGGUUUCGUAUUUACUUUCAUGGAGAGGAUUGAUUUCAGAAAUAAAGUGAAAUUAAACAAA